UACGGAGGGUGCAAGCGUUAUCCGGAUUUACUGGGUUUAAAGGGUGCGUAGGCGGGCCUUUAAGUCAGUGGUGAAAUCUCCCCGCUCAACGGGGAAACUGCCAUUGAUACUAUUGGUCUUGAAUUUAGUUGAGGUGGGAGGAAUGUGUCGUGUAGCGGUGAAAUGCUUAGAUAUGACACAGAACACCGAUUGCGAAGGCAGCUCGCUAAACUAAUAUUGACGCUGAGGCACGAAAGCGUGGGGAUCAAACAGG
rnacentral:rRNA from 1 species